rnacentral:lncRNA from 12 species
GUAUAUACACCAGCUUUAUGAUUUAUUAUGAUAUAUUUCUACAAAUGGUCAAGUAGUUAUUUCUCUGCAUCUUAACUCUCUGAUUUAUGCAUUUUUCAUCAUCCCAGAAGGAAAAGAACCUGGGUUCCCCGUGUAGACUUUUCUCAAAACUGUAUUCUGGGGCUUUUCCCUCCCUUACUUCUUCCCUCCUUUUCUGACAUCUACUGUUGGAGACCUUUGGACACCACAUCUGUUCCUUUGAACAUCACAACUACAGAGAAACUACAGCAGGGUGGAUCUGGAGUGAACUCAGCAAUGUACCGAAACCAAGAACACAGAAACAACUGCUUCUUCCAGCCACUUGACGUACCACCCAGAAGGCAAUGUGGAAAGGAGGAAAGAGUGAAGAUUUUAAAGUCAGACAAGCCUGGGUCUGUCAUCCAAUUAUUAUAUGCCCGUGGGUCUUUUUUUAAAACUUACUUCACAGAGUGGUGGAGAUUUAAUGACAUAAUAAAUGAGUAAUUUCAGCUACUCCCAGAAGCUUUCCAUGUUGGACUUCUCCACAUAUAUCUUUAGUUGGGAUCUCUCUGCUGGAUCCUGAGCUCCUUGUUGUCCCAGCCUGGAUCACUCAAAAGCCUAUUAGAGGGAAUGUAGCUAGCUAACAGUAAGUUAAUCAUUCAUUAUUACUGGCACUGCCCAUACUCACUCCCCAAUGGCCCCCCAUACACCAAGUUUGAUCCUUCUCAUUGAGCCUCUCACCUCAGGGAGAGGUAUCACCCACCACAUUGCCCAAGCCAGAAACCCAGGAGUCCUCCUUGAUGUCUACUCAUUCCUGACCCUACACAUCAGCUUCUUUAGAAUCUCUAUUUGUCCACACUCCCCUAAGCUCAAGUCCUGCACAUUAGUUUAGGCCUUCCUCUCCGCUCCCCGCCUCCCCCGCCCUCCCCAGGUCACUGCAGUAGCCUCCUCUGACUGGCUUCUCCUCUUUUACUUUCACUCCAGUGCAGCCUCUGUGACUUUCCUGUUUACAGUUAAUGACUUCUGCUGAAGGAGAAAGCCAGAGUUCCUUUACAUGAUCUGAUCUCUGCUUCCUUCUUACCCUUCUCCCAACCUCCCACACCUACACUAAGUUAAGCGCACUUCUAAGCAUCACUGCUCUCUCCUUGGCUUCCAAAUCUUCAAACACAAUCCUUCCUCUACUUGGUACUCCAAUCUCUGUUUUUCAUGGGGCAAAAUACUAUUCAACCUUCUGGACUAGGGUGGCAAGUUCCUCUGAGAAACUUUGUCCAAUCCCCAACCCCCUGAGUAAGGUGCUUUGCCUCUGUACUCCCAGAGAGCCUCAUACCUCACUUCUUUUAACGAAAUGCUCUUACUCUGUAAUGUAAUUGUUUUUAAGAUUUUAUUUAAUUAUUUGACAGAGAGAGGGAGCAUAAGCAGAGCAGCAGGCAGAGGGAGAGGGAGAACAGGCUCCCCACUGAGCAAGGAGCCUGAUGUAGGGCUCCAUCCCAGGACCCCGGCUUAUGACCUGAGUUGAAGGCAGAUGCUUAAAUGACUGAGCCACUCAGGUGCCCCAUAAUUAUUGUUAAUCUUAAAGAAAAUCCUGUCAGUAACUUUACCAGCAAAAAUGGGUUUAUUUAGGAAUAGCAGAGAAUUGUAAUUGGAGCCAUGCUGGCUAUGGCAAAACCAUAGGCAAGUCUUCAGAACCAAGGAAAAAAACUAUUUUUUUCUAGAGGAAAGGAGGGGAGGUGUCAUGAGGCGCUUUAUAAACCAAAGUCUAUUAGAGCAAACUGAGAGUUUGAAGUAUAAUGGCUCUUCACUGGCUGAGUUGUGACAAUCCCUUGUUGGUUGGGGUGUUGGGGGUUGGAGAAGCCUUUUUCCUCCUGCUGGGUUAGUAAAGUAGUAUCCAGGGAAGUGCAAGGUACAGCUCCUCCUCUUGGGUCUGCCAUUGAUGAGGGCAUGAAAGCUCCCUCUGCCAGCCUUCUGACUCCAUUCUAAACAAGACUUCCUUUUAUUAAUUUUCAGAGUAUCUAAUGUAAUAAUAGCUAAGAGUAUAGACCUCAUGUUAUGUACCAGACAUUCUUCUAAGUUCUUUUCUUGUAUUAGCUUAUAUAAUCUUCCUAACAACCCUAUGCGAUAGAUACUGUUACCAUCCUGAUUUUACAGAUGACACACAGAAAGGCAAACCUUCCUCCCAGGAUUGCACAGCCGGAAUUUGAACUCAAGAGGCCCCACUCCAAUCCAUAUAAUUAUCCACUAUGCAUUUUUGUAUUCAGUAAUCUCCAAGGAUUUUUGUCUAUGUUGUUCACUGAUGUACUCUCAGGGCCUAGAAUAAAUUCUGGCAUGUAAUAGCUGCUCA